UACAGAGGGGGCAAGCGUUGUUCGGAAUUACUGGGCGUAAAGGGCGCGUAGGCGGCCUGUUAAGUCGAACGUGAAAUCCCCGGGCUCAACCCGGGAACUGCGUCCGAUACUGGCAGGCUUGAAUUCGGGAGAGGGAUGCGGAAUUCCUGGUGUAGCGGUGAAAUGCGCAGAUAUCAGGAAGAACACCCGUGGCGAAGGCGGGUCUCGUGGACAGUUCCGUGACGCUGAGGCACGAAGGCCAGGGGAGCAAACGGG
rnacentral:rRNA from 1 species